UGGGGAAUCUUGCGCAAUGGGCGAAAGCCUGACGCAGCGACGCCGCGUGAGUGAUGAAGGCCUUCGGGUUGUAAAGCUCUGUGGAGAGGGACGAAUAAGUGCUGGCUAACAUCCAGCGCGAUGACGGUACCUCUUUAGCAAGCACCGGCUAACUCUGUGCCAGCAGCCGCGGUAAGACAGAGGGUGCAAACGUUGUUCGGAAUUACUGGGCGUAAAGCGCGUGUAGGCGGCUUGGCAAGUCGGGUGUGAA
rnacentral:rRNA from 1 species